GAUGAACGCUGGCGGCGUGCUUAACACAUGCAAGUCGAACGGAAAGGCUCCUGCUUGCAGGGGUACUCGAGUGGCGAACGGGUGAGUAACACGUGGGUGAUCUGCCCUGCACUUCGGGAUAAGCCUGGGAAACUGGGUCUAAUACCGGAUAGGACCACAUUUUGGAUGGUGUGGUGGAAAGUUUUUCGGUGUGGGAUGAGCUCGCGGCCUAUCAGCUUGUUGGUGGGGUAAUGGCCUACCAAGGCGUCGACGGGUAGCCGGCCUGAGAGGGUGUACGGCCACAUUGGGACUGAGAUACGGCCCAGACUCCUACGGGAGGCAGCAGGGGGGAAUAUGGCACAAUGGGCGCAAGCCUGAUGCAGAGACGCCGCGUGGGGGAUGACGGCCUUCGGGUUGUAAACUCCUUUCGCUAGGGACGAAGCGCAAGUGACGGUACCUGGAGAAGAAGCACCGGCUAACUACGUG
rnacentral:rRNA from 1 species